UACGAAGGGGGCUAGCGUUGCUCGGAAUGACUGGGCGUAAAGGGCGCGUAGGCGGCCAACUAAGUCGGACGUGAAAUCCCUCGGCUUAACCGGGGAACUGCGUCCGAUACUGGAUGGCUUGAGUUUGGGAGAGGGAUGCGGAAUUCCAGGUGUAGCGGUGAAAUGCGUAGAUAUCUGGAGGAACACCGGUGGCGAAGGCGGCAUCCUGGACCCAAUUACUGACGCUGAGUGAGCGAAAGCCAGGGGAGCAGAGG
rnacentral:rRNA from 1 species